AGGGGAUCUUCGGACCUUUCGCUAUGAGAUGAGCCUGCGUUAGAUUAGCUAGUUGGUAGGGUAAAGGCCUACCAAGGCGACGAUCUAUAGCUGGUCUGAGAGGACGAUCAGCCACACUGGGACUGAGACACGGCCCAGACUCCUACGGGAGGCAGCAGUGGGGAAUAUUGGACAAUGGGCGAAAGCCUGAUCCAGCAAUACCGCGUGUGUGAAGAAGGCCUUAGGGUUGUAAAGCACUUUCAAUUGGGAGGAAAACCUGCCGGCCAAUACCCGGUAGCUUGACAUUACCUUUAGAAGAAGCACCGGCUAACUCCGUGCCAGCAGCCGCGGUAAUACGGAGGGUGCGAGCGUUAAUCGGAAUUACUGGGCGUAAAGCGUGCGUAGGCGGUUCGUUAAGUCAGAUGUGAAAGCCCUGGGCUCAACCUGGGAACUGCAUUUGAAACUGGCGGACUAGAGUUUAGUAGAGGGGAGUGGAAUUUCAGGUGUAGCGGUGAAAUGCGUAGACAUCUGAAGGAACACCAGUGGCGAAGGCGACUCCCUGGACUAGAACUGACGCUGAGGUACGAAAGCGUGGGUAGCAAACAGGAUUAGAUACCCUGGUAGUCCACGCCGUAAACGAUGUCAACUAGC
rnacentral:rRNA from 1 species